rnacentral:tRNA from 1 species
AUUAUGUUAGUAUAAAUAGUACGCCUGCCUUCCAAGCAGAAAGUUUGAGGUCAAACAUAGUU